rnacentral:rRNA from 1 species
CACGUAGGCACCAAGCGUUGUCCGGAUUUAUUGGGCGUAAAAGAGCUCGUAGGCGGUUCAGUAAGUCAGGUGUGAAAUCUUUGGGCUUAACCCAAAGCGUGCACUUGAUACUGCUGUGACUUGAGUUCGGUAGGGGAGUGGGGAAUUCCUAGUGUAGCGGUGAAAUGCGCAGAUAGUCGAGGAGGAACACCAGCGGCGAAGGCGGCGCUCGUGGGCUGGCACUGACGCUGAGGAGCGAAAGCGUGGGGAGCGAACAGG